UACGGAAGGGGGCUAGCGUUGCUCGGAAUCACUGGGCGUAAAGGGUGCGUAGGCGGGUCUUUAAGUCAGGGGUGAAAUCCUGGAGCUCAACUCCAGAACUGCCUUCGAUACUGGCGAUCUCGAGUUCGGGAGAGGUGAGUGGAACUGCGAGUGUAGAGGUGAAAUUCGUAGAUAUUCGCAAGAACACCAGUGGCGAAGGCGGCUCACUGGCCCGAUACUGACGCUGAGGUGCGAAAGCGUGGGGAGCAAACAGG
rnacentral:rRNA from 1 species